UUUCCGUAGGUGAACCUGCGGAAGGAUCAUUAACGAUUAAAGUCCUUUGGGACUUUCUUAUUCAAAACACCUGUGAAAAUUAAUUUUUUGCUUUGUGAAUUUAAUUAUUCCCAACAAUCAAAACCACUAAGUUUUCUUUUGUCUGUAUGAUUAUUUAAAAAAUCAAAACUUUCAACAACGGAUCUCUUGGUUCUC
rnacentral:misc_RNA from 1 species